rnacentral:rRNA from 1 species
UACGGGGGGGGGCAAGCGUUGUUCGGAAUUACUGGGCGUAAAGGGCUCGUAGGUGGCCCCAUAAGUCAGACGUGAAAUCCCUCGGCUUAACCGGGGAACUGCGUCCGAUACUGGUUGGCUUGAGUUUGGGAGAGGGAUGCGGAAUUCCAGGUGUAGCGGUGAAAUGCGUAGAUAUCUGGAGGAACACCGGUGGCGAAGGCGGCAUCCUGGACCAAUACUGACGCUGAGGAGCGAAAGCCAGGGGAGCAAACGGG